UACGUAGGGGGCAAGCGUUGUCCGGAAUUACUGGGCGUAAAGCGCACGCAGGCUGAAUUAUAAGUCGGUAGUAAAAGGCGGGGGCUCAACUUCCGUAUAUCUAUCGAUACUGUAAAUCUAGAGUAUGUGAGAGGGAAGCGGAAUUCCAUGUGUAGCGGUGAAAUGCGUAGAGAUAUGGAGGAACACCAGUGGCGAAGGCGGCUUCCUGGUCUGUAACUGACACUGAGGCGCGAAAGCGUGGGGAGCAAACAGGAUUAGAUA
rnacentral:rRNA from 1 species